GGUAUGAUAUGUAGAGAUCGAUUCAGAUAAGCAACUAUGGGAUUGAAGAAUGCCUUUCUUAAAGUGAACCUGUGCAAUGUUUCGCUAGAGAAUGUAUGAAAAGGAAAUGCUGCAGACACCGUGCACGCAACCAAAGAUGCAAAGCUCACACAUGAAGGUAAGGUUGCUCUACUGCACCGAUGCCCGGCAAGAAGAGCCUCACUGGGUCUGUGUAGUUACCCCUGCAGAGAAGAAUGGUUAGAUCAAAAUCAGACCUUGUAUAACCACUGAAGAAUUGUUCUUUUCCUAAAUGUGU
rnacentral:lncRNA from 1 species